rnacentral:rRNA from 1 species
CGGACGGGUGAGUAACGCGUGAGUAACCUGCCUUUCAGAGGGGGAUAACGUUCUGAAAAGAACGCUAAUACCGCAUAACAUCAAUUUAUCGCAUGAUAGGUUGAUCAAAGGAGCAAUCCGCUGGAAGAUGGACUCGCGUCCGAUUAGCCAGUUGGCGGGGUAACGGCCCACCAAAGCGACGAUCGGUAGCCGGACUGAGAGGCUGAACGGCCACAUUGGGACUGAGACACGGCCCAGACUCCUACGGGAGGCAGCAUG